rnacentral:rRNA from 1 species
UACGAAGGGGGCUAGCGUUGCUCGGAAUCACUGGGCGUAAAGCGCACGUAGGCGGAUUGCUAAGUCAGGGGUGAAAUCCUGGAGCUCAACUCCAGAACUGCCUUUGAUACUGGCGAUCUCGAGUCCGGGAGAGGUGAGUGGAACUGCGAGUGUAGAGGUGAAAUUCGUAGAUAUUCGCAAGAACACCAGUGGCGAAGGCGGCUCACUGGUCCAUUACUGACGCUGAGGUGCGAAGGCGUGGGGAGCGAACAGG